UGGGGAAUAUUGCACAAUGGAGGGAACUCUGAUGCAGCGACGCCGCGUGAACGAAGAAGGCUUUCGAGUCGUAAAGUUCUUUUAUAUGGGAAGAUAAUGACGGUACCAUAAGAAAAAGCCCCGGCUAACUACGUGCCAGCAGCCGCGGUAAUACGUAGGGGGCUAGCGUUGUCCGGAAUCACUGGGCGUAAAGGGUUCGCAGGCGGAAAUGCAAGUCAGGUGUAAAAGGCAGUAGCUUAACUACUGUAAGCAUUUGAAACUGCAUAUCUUGAGAAGAGUAGAGGUAAGUGGAAUUUUUAGUGUAGCGGUGAAAUGCGUAGAUAUUAAAAAGAAUACCGGUGGCGAAGGCGACUUUCUGGACUUUUACUGACGCUCAGGUACGAAAGCGUGGGGAGCAAACAGG
rnacentral:rRNA from 1 species